UCCAUCAUUUCACUCUGGGCUGCUUUUCUUUACCAUGCAUAGGAGGGAGAGCAGGGAGAGCCAAUUAUCUGGCAAAUGUGUUUUGUUAUUACUAAUUGGAAGAAGAUGGCUGUGUUCCAAUAUCCUUUACUGGACGCGGAGUCAGUGGCAGAGGCUAAGGAUCAGGACUGAUUUAGCCACAGGCAUGCCAUGCGUAUCUGGCCCAGGAGAUGUGAGAGGACACCUCAUUGGGAGAAAGAUUCUGGGUCUGUUAAAUGAGACCCACAAGGAGAGACAUUGUCCUGCUUGCCUUUGAAGUCACCUUUUAUGACAGGGACUGCACCCAGCAAUACUGGAUGGGAGUUGCCGAGGUCCACUCUGGCUGCUCCAGGGGGUACCAGACCCACUUCUGGAAGUGCUUUGCACCACUCUGGCUAUACCUGGUGGUGGCUGGAGUCAUGCAGUCCCAAUUGUGGCACUCAGAGUCCUGAGUAUGCCAGACAUGUGCUCUACCACUUGAUCAAGCUCUGCA